rnacentral:rRNA from 1 species
AUAUUAUUAAGCGGAGGAAAAGAAACUAACAAGGAUUCCCCUAGUAACGGCGAGUGAAGCGGGAACAGCUCAAAAUGAAAAUCGGGUGCCCCAAAGGGUAUUCGAGUUGUAAUCUAAAGGCACGAUAUCUGCGUGUGACCCGGGUAUAACUCUUUUGGAACAAGGGAUCAUAGAGGGUGAAAAUCCCGUCUUUGACCCGGAGUUCGCCGCGUACGAUUCGUGUCCAAAGAGUCGAGUAGCUUGGGAUUGCUGCUCAAAAUGGGUGGUAAACCUCAUCUAAAGCUAAAUACCGGCCAGAGACCGAUAGCGCACAAGUA